GCUGUUUGCUUACAAUCCGACCCUGCUUCGUGUACAAAUGCAAUGCCAUUUCGGCAGGGCUAUAGGCUACGAAACCUUUCGAACUCGAAAAGGCGCUACUAAUUUUGAAUAGGUACUUAAUAUUGGGUAAAAGUAAUAGAUAAGAUUGUUUUACAUUAAAUAUUUGACAGAUCGAUGUAACUCGUCAAGCGGAAUCCGAGAAGAAAAAUGACGGAUGUGCUGUUUGCUGAUAGUCCAGAACGGCUUCGUGUACAAAUGCAUGGCGGGGAGACCAGAAAGUUUUCGAAACUGCGUGAGUGGAAGUCUGCGUUGGACAAAUUUUGAAAAUAUCUGAAGGUUUAACGAAUUUUGGAGAAUUCGACAGAGCUACAGACUACGAAACCUUUCGAAACGAACACACGUGUCCUGUUGAACUUGAAAAAAGACGAAAUUAUUUUUAAAAAGAUCAUGGUAACUCGUGAAGCAACAUCUCAGAAUUGAAUCGGGGAACGAGGAAUCAAAAAAAGGUUAACAAUUUGGAUCAUUUUGGAAGAUACAUACGCCGCGCUUUUCAAAGCGGACAGACGUGCCCUUGUCCAACUGAAACGAACACACGUGUCCUGUUGAACUUGAAAAAAGACGAAAUUAUUUUAAAAAGAUCAUGGUAACUCGUGAAGCAACAUCUCAGAAUUGAAUCGGGGAGUUGUGUAUUUGCUGGCAAUCCGGGCCUGCUUGGAUCAUUUUGGAAGAUACAUACGCCUGCGCUUUUCAAAGCGGACAGACGUGCCCGUGUCCCACUUGACAAAGGCGGAAUUAUUUUAGGAAAGACCAUGGCAACUAGUAAAGCAGAAUCCGAGAAUUCAAUCGGCGGCUGUAUGUUGACUGACAAGAAUAUAAUUGCUGUUAAUCCGGCCCUGCUUCUUGUACAAAUGCAUAGUGGGGAGACAUGAACAUUUUUCGAAAUUGCGGCCCUAUCCUCUUGGGAUUCUACGUUGGACAAAUUCUGAAAACGACCCAGAAAUAUAAUUGGAGGUUCAAACCCGUGCGAGGUGAGGUUUGAUAUAUGAAACAGACCAGUCAUGGGGACACGAGAUAUGGAAAGUUUCAGCGUAGUCGUCGCCACAUUGCUGCCAACACUGCAUAUAUAAGGAAUCACGAACCAUUCAGGUAAAAUUUUGAAAACACAUAGUUAUGGCAAUAUAGAACCUCUCUUUUUUUAACAGGAAUAUUGAGACUUAGACCAGUAUCUUUUAAGUAGGCAUGUGGGGUAAAGAAGACGCAGAAGCUUCAGUCGGGUACCAUCGGUAACGUAGGCGAUUGAUAUAUUUCCACCACUACCUAUGUUGGAUUGGAAUUUCCCAUUUGAUGCUUUGACUGACUAAAUGAGGAAACUUGGAGAUAUUAUUGGUGGUGCCUGCCAGCUUCCAGUUCCGAGAAAAGAAAUCCAACACUUUUCGUCUUUAUUUCCCCUGUCCUUUGUGCGCAAUAAAAGUACAGUUU